rnacentral:lncRNA from 1 species
UCUACAAUCUACUUAAUAUAAUUAAUAUAUAAUAUAGAUGAAAUUAAUCUUUGAUCUAGAAUCAAAGAAAAAUAAUAAAUGGCUCUUAUGGUGUGCCUUGGAAGAAAGGUUUCUCUGUAGAGGAAAGGAAUAACAAAUUAUUCCGAUAAUUUUUCCUAUAGAAAAUCUAGUAACAAGAAGAUUUAAUCGGAAAUAUCGACAAAUUCUUGUGGAGUCCAAAACAAAAAAAUGAAAUAAAAAAAAUCAACUGCUCCAAUUUCAUCUCUAUCGAAUUUUAAUAUCAGAAUAGCGGAUAUAGUCAUGAUUCAAUAGGUCAGGUCCACUUACUUUUUACUUUUUCUUUUGUUGAUUUCUAACCUUUCGAAUCGAUUUGGUUGGUAUAAUGGAAAAUAGGAAUAUUCGGUGAUUCAAGAAGUGACUUUUCAUUAUUCCUAAAUUCAUACUAAUGAAAAUUGACUAAACAAAUGUUCAACUUUAUAACUAAGUAUAAUGAUAAUGUAUUAUCCAGUUAGUUACUUUUUUUAUUACAAAUAAAAAGAAAAUUCUCCCAUCAAAUAUGAAUACUAGAUUGGGGUUUUACAAAGCCCCUUAUCGGAUUUGAACCGAUGACUUACGCCUUACCAUGGCGUUACUCUACCACUGAGUUAAAAGGGCCUUUUUUAUUUAAUUCCGGAAUUAUUCACUAUGUGGAUAAAAUAUCUAUAUGUACUUAUAUUAUAAACAUAAGUAUAUAUGCAUUAAGUACGUGCAGUAGAUACAUAGUGUCUAGUGGCUCAUUGUUGAAUAAUAAAAUGGAUUUACCUAGGAAGUAUAGGAGAAAAUGCAAUGAAUUGUUUCAAGACCGACUCGAAUAGAAAUAAAUUCAAUUGAAAUAAUUAAAAAAAAUACUACUACUAGAUUUCUAAUGUCGAUUCUAAUGAAUAAUUCGUCAAUGACGAAUAAAAAACAAUUCUAUGCAAUUCUGAAGGGGGGAAAGAUCCCUCGGCUAGAAUCAUUUGAUUAUAUUGACAAUUUUAAAAAACGGAUCAUACUAUCAUCAUAGUAUGAUGGCCGUUGGUCAAGCGGGCCCCCAUCGUCUAGUGGUUUAGGACAUCUCUCUUUCAAGGAGGCAGCGGGGAUUCGAAUUCCCCUGGGGGUAGGGUACUACGAAAGGAAAUUGAUCAUGGAUUACCAAUAAGUUGAAAAUUGAUUCUUCCUGGGUCGAUGCCCGAGCGGUUAAUGGGGACGGACUGUAAAUUCGUUGGCAAUAUGUCUACGCUGGUUCAAAUCCAGCUCGGCCCAAUAAUUCGCCAAUCCGCCAUGAGAUGAUAUAACUCCCUUUGUACUUCAGAAAUACCCGAUCCGGAGAUAAAAAAGAAUCAAAUUUUCUGCUAGAUCCCGUAUUUCCCUGGGAUUGUAGUUCAAUUGGUCAGAGCACCGCCCUGUCAAGGCGGAAGCUGCGGGUUCGAGCCCCGUCAGUCCCGACGGAUCCAAUAAAUAUAUCAAAAAAUCUCUCCCUUUUUCUGAAGGGGACCGGGGGAAGAAUUCCAUUGUCAAAGCAAAGGGGAAAUCCUUAUUUCUUUUUUCUUUCCUUUUGGUAGGAGAAAGACAUAUGCGGUUGGAUUAGUACAAUUAUUGGUAGCAUUAUAGUCAGUAUUCCAAGAAAUGCUGGCUUUUUCGAUUGCCCCCGAUGCAUGUAAUGGAAUCGAGUACUAUACUUUUUUGAGGCGCGCAUACACAAAAGGAAUUCCUUUGUUGUCCAAUACAAAAUUGAAUAUAAGAAAAUACUUUCCAGAAAAAACAAAAAAAAAAAAAAAACAAUUUCUUUUUCUGGCUACGGAUUUAUGGAACCUGACUUACUAGUUUGAAGUUGCAAAAUAGAUUUCAUGCAAAUUGCACACUGAGCUUUUGGUAUAGGUGUCCCGGGGCUAAUAAUCGACGAAGAAAGGAGGGGGAAGGACAGAUCAACCAAAGAUCCUACUCCUCUUAGAAAGGCGAAUGAAUCAUUUUUCCUAUUUUUCAUUUUGUUUUAAGGCCCCAUCGACGAACGAACAAAUCGGAAAAUAGUCAAUUUGAUGAAUAUUCAUUUUAUACGGUCUCAUCUUUAUCACACUUCUUUGUCUUCCAAGUCAAAAAUAGUUUCGUUCUAAACUCCUUUCUUUUUCCAUUUAGCUUUUAUUGUUUGUUUGGGUUUGUAACUAUGUGACCACUGGAAGUGGAAGAGCUAUUUGAUGAGACUUCAUCAGAUGAUUGUACAAGAAGGAACUAGAUAGAUUAGAGAGAAAAAAAGAACAGAUAAUAAAAAAUGAUAAAUAAAUAAAGGAAUUUUGGGUUAGGUCAGCAAUCCGAGUUUGGGGCGGUAUGGAUAAAAGAACUUCCUAUGUUAUACUAUUCAAUUCUCGACGACGAAUUUAUUUGAUAGUUCAGAUAUUGUUAUUCAUGAUAUUGAUCUGAUUCAAGAUCAUCGAGAGGUAAUAUUCAUUCAUUGAAUUUACAGGCCAAAGAUUUAUCAUCUCUAUGGGAUUAAAUCCCGAGUUAUUGCGAAGUAAAAAACCGAUGAGAUUAUGGAAGUAAAUAUUCUUGCAUUUAUUGCUACUGCACUAUUUAUUCUAGUUCCUACCGCUUUUCUACUUAUCAUUUAUGUAAAAACAGUCAGUCAAAACGAUUAAUUAUUAACUAAUUUGAAUGAAACUUGACUUCUGAGUUCUUAGCCAAAAUUGACGAAAUAAAAUGAAAAAGAUUCCAAUUUCAUGUCUUAAAUGAAAUGAGUGGACUAGAAUCGGCAGUAUUCUAAUAGAUAGAUAGUAUGGUAGAAAGAUUCAUCUAUUUCUUUCUACCAUACUAUUUAUUAGUUAGAUUCUUGUUAUAAAGCUGCCCCCUGGAAUAAAAUAAAGAUAGAGGCUGCAUUUGAUAUGGAUCUAUAUAUCAAUCUACAAUAUUAUCUUGAUAUAUGUGAAUAUCAAUUCCAUAUAUGGGAUUGACAUAGCAUCCAAUUCCAUUUAUUUGCUAUAUCUAUUUGUUCUGAUCAAUCUGAAUUACUCCUAUGUCUUAUAGUUUGAAUUACUAUAUUUUUGAUUUCCAAUAUGAAUCUCAGUAUCUAUUGAGAGAAUCAAAUCAAUGAAGCAAAAGCGAUAGAUAUAGGCAUAUUCAAAAAAUCACGUAGUAAUCUUUUUUUUUUUAACAUUCCUAAGAAGUAAACCAUUGACAGUAGUUCCACGGGCAUCGAAAAGGAAGAGUAAACCUCACUGAUUUUUAAGGCCUGAACCAUGAUAUGAAAUAAGUCGAUAAAGUCUAAAUCCAAUUUCCAAAAUUCGAAAGGUAAAUGCGCAAUAUGUGACUCACCUGACGAUCUUAUUCUAAAUAGUAUCUCGUUAGACAACCACUAUGUUUAUAUCCUUUCUUUCUCAUACAAAGUGCGUAUACACUUAACAAAACCACUUUUUCUUUGAACAGUAAAGAGAGAACCAAAUAAAAAACGGGUCCGGCCCUCCUCAGUAUCACCUAGGAAGAGGCCAUUGAUUGGAAUAGAAAAUUUAGUAAGAAUUAGGUUCGAAUAAAUUUCCUGGGAUCCUUUUCCUUUCGAACUACAAACAUGGGAAUCGUUGAAAUAGCUCUUUGAUUGAAAGAGGCUGAUUCCUAUAAUACAUUACUCCAGUCGAGUCCAAUGGAAUUUCAAAAUGAAGAUAUUUUUAUUUUGUUCCAAACGUGUUGCAGAACCAUCUAGAAAGCAAUUGAUAAUGAUACAGUUUGCUUCCUUAACUCAAUUAGCAGAACCCCUAGAGUCCACUCCUUCCCCACACUACGAGUGAAAGGGAAAAAGUAAAGACUACCAUUAAAGCAGCCCAAGCAAGACUUACUAUAUCCAUAUGAAUUAUGUCCCCUAUCUCUAUAAAUAUAAAGGAAUUGUUCCAUUAUUCCUCACUAAUAAUAGUAGAAUCAAUGGCGCAGAGUCAAAAAGAACGAAGACUAUUAAUAAACCAAUCCAAUAAAUUCGCUCAUUUUAUAAGAAAUUUCUAUAUGAUUUAUAAUCGGGAAAGAUUAAACCCAAGCAAAAUCCGCAGUAACAUCUCAAGGGAAUGUUACUAAUGGAACAUGUAGGAAUAAUAGGUCCUAUUCUUUUUUUGUUGACCCUCAUUUGAAUUGAUUGGAUGCUUGAGCACUGAGAUAUUUUCGUGAGUUCCUCGUAUAUAAUAAAGUAUCUUCCGCCCCCUUCCACAACUAUUUCGAUUUCCUAUCGGGCUCUCCAAGGUCCAGUCAUUAUACAAUGGAUUAAUAAUAGAAAAUUUUGAUUUGUAGUAGAAGGUAAUUGCGAAGUCUUGAUAGCCCCUCGAGCAUUCGAAUAUUUACUUGAAAGCUAAGCCUAAAUAUGCAAUGCAAGGAUAUUUACAAUUUUUUCUAAAAACACCCAGACCAAAACAAGUAUCAACAGUCUGCUUUCUCUGCUUCUGCUGGCGAAUCAUUCGGCGGGUUAUAUCAACAGAAGAAAAAAAGAGAUUUCCAGUUUUUUGUUGAUCAGGCGACACCCGGAUUUGAACUGGGGAAAAAAGGAUUUGCAGUCCUCUGCCUUACCACUCGGCCAUGUCGCCAAAAUGCUACAAAUACAAAAUAGAUGAAAACUUUCCCGGAUUACUGAACUGCUUUUUUAUUGUACUUGCACCUUGAGUUCUGUUUUCCUUAAUUUUUCCUAAAAGUCAAAGAAAUCCUAAUCCUUCUUCCCUUUUGAUUGGGUUUGAUUCAUCCUUUCAAUUUCGAUUGAGUCUAUCUCCAAAUUCAUAAUGUUCAAAACUUUCUCUUACCUUUCUAUUGAAAAAUCAAAUGUGGAUUUUCAUUCGCAAAAUACAAAAUUCAACUUUCAGAAAAUAGGACCCAGUAACUAUUGCCUUAGAAUGCAUGAAUGAUUCUUGGAUUUGAAUCUCCCAAUUUUGGUUUCCUAAUGACAUAAGAAAAUACAACUUGAUAUAUGAUAUAUAACCAAUCAGUUCAGUAUGGAUUUUUGCAAUCAAAAAAUCCUUCUCAAUUUU